CAGCCGCCGCGGUAAAACCAGCACCUCAAGUGGUCAGGAUGAUUAUUGGGCCUAAAGCAUCCGUAGCCCGUUUUGUAAGUUUUCGGUUAAAUCCAUGCGUUUAACGUAUGGGCUGCCGGGAAUACUGCAUAACUAGGAAGUGGGAGAGGUAGACGGUACUCGGUAGGAAGGGGUAAAAUCCUUUGAUCUAUUGAUGACCACCUGUGGCGAAGGCGGUCUACCAGAACACGUUCGACGGUGAGGGAUGAAAGCUGGGGGAGCAAACCGGAUUAGAUACCCGGGUAGUCCCAGCUGUAAACUAUGCAAACUCAGUGAUGCAUUGGCUUAUGGCCAAUGCAGUGCUGCAGGGAAGCCGUUAAGUUUGCCGCCUGGGAAGUACGCACGCAAGUAUGAAACUUAAAGGAAUUGGCGGUGGAGCACCA
rnacentral:rRNA from 1 species